rnacentral:lncRNA from 1 species
CUUGCACUGUUGGCUCAGUCCAAGUGCAAUGGUGCAAUCAUAGCUCACUGUACCCCUGAACUCCUGGGCUCAAGUGAUCCUCCCACCUCAGUCUCCCAAGUAGCUGGGACUACAAGUGCACACCACCAUGCCAGGUGCUGAACGUGUCCUCCAAGGGUUUCAAGGUUAUCGUAUGCCCUGAAAUUGGGCAAGGAGCUUUAAGAGGGAACUUUGAGUUUGCCAGAGAAAACUCAAGAUGUUUCUACAUGAAGAAAAUGGUUUCAGACAUUUGACUUCUUUAAUUUUUGCAUACUCUUUGUGAUGGUUGUUAGCAAAGACCUAGAGUGGUUGUAUGGCUAUUUGCAAAGGCUGAGUGUGACUUGAUAUUGGCUCAACUUGAAAACUUUGAUAUUUGAUGUUUGUAUUCAAAAUUGGAAACAAAGGUGUUUAAAAGGAUGAUAUAUGAUUAUGGGGUGGCAUAUAAGACUUUGCAGAACUUACCUGCACACUUAUAUAUUUUCUGCCAAAAUAGUUGUUUGUUUUGAUGUUAACCUGUGCUUGUCAUGUUUAUCUCCAUACCUUCUUUGGUUUAAAGUUUAUUCUAAUUAAAACCCUAAUUAGUAAUAUUUGUAUUUACUGGUAGCUUAGCUGUCUGAGUGUAAUCUCAUUUUGUUUGUUAAUUGGUUUGCAUUAUUAGCUCAUUUUAAAUUGCCAAGAAAAAUCCUGAAGACAAGUGAACAUAAUUAAAUUGGAGCAUGGGUCACUUCUUACUGCCUCUUUUUCCAGUGAGCAGAGAAUUUCUAUAAACAAAAACAAGGUCUACUUUAAAGAGAAAUAAAUAAGGAAGAAGAAAAACUGACACGUGAAAAGGGAAGAUAGUGCCUUGAAAAGGGACAAGAAAGGAAAAUGAUUUUUAAUUAGAAGAAUUAAUACAAUAUUCAAUACAGUGGAGUAUGUUUGCUUUUAGAGGAAAGCAGUGGAGGUGGGGGCUGGUGGCUUUGUGAAAAGGGCUAA